AUCCACAUUUUCAGCCAAAUAAAUGGCCCAAACGAUAGCCCAUUACCCCUAAAAAUUUCGGACCAACUGAACCCAUUAUCCAUUCCAACAGACUAGCCUAUUACCCGGCCAACCCAACAACUCAAAUAAUUCAGCCCAUACCUGCAACGACCCGGCCCAAAAACCUUCACUCGGUUGAAGCCCAAAACAAAAGAACCCUAAUCAAAAACCACAGCUGCAAACCUCUCUCUCUCCUCCCUCUCUCUUCUCUCUUCUCUCCCCUCCAUAUUUAGCAAAGCUUUGUUUCCCUUUAGCCAUGGCAGUUUUGGCCUAUUCCAUUUCCACACAAAGAAGCGUCCCUAUAUCGGCUUUGCCUACGUUUGCUCUGUCAUGGACAGAGAAAGAUCCCCCUUUCCUUGCUUCAAACACGACAAAUCUUCCAAAAUCAAGAAUGGUCGAACCAUUUUCGGUAACACCGAAUCAAAUCACUUUUCUUUUAUCAGUAAGUUUCAUUUUCGGGUACAAAAGCUUUAAGAGAUUUUGUCUAUUGCUUCCUUUUCUGGAUCGGAUGAUGGAGAUACCUGCAAAAAAAUCCAAAUAUUUUGAUUUUGAAUGAGGCAUCUUUGACCAAAAUCCCAAUCUCAAUUCCCGCCCAGAUUUCGAACCCUAGAGGAACCCAAAAAUCAGCCUAUAAAUGCUCACUUUCGAUCCAACAGAGGGGAGGUUUUUUUUGGGGGUCUAAAAAAAACAGUAGCCAUAUAUUAUUGAAAAUCAUCAUAUUUCUUGAGCAGUCGAAGUUUCGGGUUAUUUUUGGGGGGAACUGACAUUGAAUUUUUUUUGAGAUAAAUAAAAUCUCUUUUCAAACAAAAGCAUACUGUUUUCUUUUUGCUAAUAUCGAGGUUUCGAUUCGAAAGACUUUUUUCUAGUUCGGGUUUGUUGUGUUCGAGCAUCGAUCCGAGACCCGACACCCCAUUCACUGCACCCGCGAAAGUGAAGGGGUCAAAGAUCAGUAGAACAGAGAUGUGCAGGACUUUGGAACACAUGGUGUACUUGUACUACCAGAAGAACCGAUGUGGUGUGGUUUGCCAUUUCAUUCAUAAAAUCUCUCUCCAAAAUUGUCUGCUUUUUUCCUCACUUUUUUUAUGCAGGCUAAGCUCAUUUGGAGUUCACCAACUGUGAGAAAUUUAAAUGUAUGCAUGCUUAAGAUCAAAUAUUGAUUUUUAUCGGGUGUUCGAUACUUGUAUUAGGGCCCGACUAAUUCAGAUUUGUGUCAUGUAAAAGGUUCAUAAAAGAGGAAAAGCUCUCCCUACCAGUUUUUUGUUCGUACCCGGAGUUCAAAUCCCAGAAAAUACUUUCUACCCUCAUAUCUAACUUUAUCUUCUUCUUUGUCUUUGUUUUUUUUUUUCGGUUGUAAUGAGGAUGUUUUUAUUCAUUAAGCAAACUUGAGAGUGACUACAUAGA